GUCACGAAGUGGUGAUGACGCAACAGAAGAACCCACUUCAAUAUGGUAUGUGACGUCACAGAGGAUCAAGUGGGCCAUGCUGGUAUGAAAGAAGAAUGAAGAAAAGUCGGCGAAUACGCUGCAGAAGGAAAGCGCAAGACGAAGAGCAAAGACGAAGACGCCAAAAAAGGAUAAACGGUUUGAGGUUUGAGUAUUAUAAGUAUGAGUUGUGUGUUGUAUGUGUGUCUUGUCUGCGCUGCUGUAUUCUUAUUCUGCUGGACCUAAUGUUGCCAGCUAUUUUUAGUCAGUCACUAUUAUAGUGCAUUUUGCAUGUCUAUGAAAUAUAGGCAAUGAAACUAUGGCGAACAUCUUGCUGGAUCGGAUUUUGUUGUUGUACACUCUAUUGAGUACUUCGUCUACAAAGAUCAAAUCCUUCAGCGAUUCCGUAUUGUUUCGGUUUGCUUUGCGAGAACUCCGUCUUGGUACACAUAUACUCGAGUAAUAUUAACGCGCAUUAUAAUAUUCCCCAUUUAAGUUUAACAAUCACCCGCCAUGUUUUAAUUAUUUAAAAAUUAACUGUAAACUUCCCCACCUUGUUAAAGUUAGUAUAUUAUACGUCCUCAUGACGUCACGUUGCGUAAUUGUGAUGAUGGCCACGUCACAGUUUCUCUACGUCACGUCAAUACGGUGGGUCAGCAACGUCAUGACCCUGCGUUCGGUGCGGUUACGUCACGGUCGGCUUAGUUACGUUACAGCUGCGGGUUUGUUACGUGGACGUCGCCGCUUUGCGGUUCGUAACAGCCACAGUAUGUCGUAACGGUCGAUGCAGUGCGUAACAGCCGGACGAUAUUAUAUUGUGUGAAGAUACGACGAGAGUAUCGCGGUACCAAGAUGUUUUCUUAAUAAGCACUCGAGAUAUGCAGAGCUGUUGUUGGCUUCGACUCUUUGCGGUCGGACAUUCAAUAUGGUGUACACUGCAGAUGAUUAUCCUUCAGGAUUUGAACCAUAUUUUAUUUGUAGAUGUUUCAAUGAUUAUGUCCGCGUUAAUUAUUUUUGAACCACGCCCCCUUUUUGUAUGAUUGAGCUGUUGUGUUUGUUGCAUGUUUGGCACAUGUAUGUCGCUGCACUCGUUGUACUAUUUUUGUCUUUUUGUUGGUAUGUUCCUUACUAUUUUUGUCUAAUGGUUUGUUUAACCUUGCUUGGGUAAGGUCUAUCCAGCAAAGGGUUUCUCACCAGAGUAGAAA